rnacentral:rRNA from 1 species
GAUGAACGCUGGCGGCGUGCCUAAUACAUGCAAGUCGAGCGAAUGGAUUAAGAGCUUGCUCUUAUGAAGUUAGCGGCGGACGGGUGAGUAACACGUGGGUAACCUGCCCAUAAGACUGGGAUAACUCCGGGAAACCGGGGCUAAUACCGGAUAACAUUUUGAACCGCAUGGUUCGAAAUUGAAAGGCGGCUUCGGCUGUCACUUAUGGAUGGACCCGCGUCGCAUUAGCUAGUUGGUGAGGUAACGGCUCACCAAGGCAACGAUGCGUAGCCGACCUGGGAGGGUGAUCGGCCACACUGGGACUGAGACACGGCCCAGACUCCUACGGGAGGCAGCAGUAGGGAAUCUUCCGCAAUGGACGAAAGUCUGACGGAGCAACGCCGCGUGGGUGAUGAAGGCUUUCGGGUCGUAAAAUUCUGUUGUUAGGGAAGAACAAGUGCUAGUUGAAUAAGCUGGCACCUUGACGGUACCUAACCAGGAAGCCACGGCUAACUACGUGCCAGCCGCCGCCGUAA